AUAUAAAAAAUCCUGCAAAACUGAAACGGCUUAAAGGCUUGAAAAAGCCUAAAUUAACACUUAGAUUCUUCACAUUUCUCUGUGAGAAAUAGCUCAAAUACUGCCUAUUCUAGUUUUUUCGAUCAUCCCUAUUAGCUAGAUUUCUUGAAGCAUUUCAAAUCCCUGCACCUAACUGAAAUGGUUUAUUUUGGGGGUUUAAGAGCUUGGUUUAAAGCUGUUUGGUUUUCUAGGUUAAUGUUCCAUUGAAUCUGGUUGUUGAUCUGCUGUUUCUGUUUUACUGAUCCUCAUUUCUUCUUAUUUCCUCUUGUUUAAGAACCAGAAUUAUGUGAUUGAGUUGCAAGCUGUGUGAAUGUAAUGGCUCAUAUUACUGAAAAUCAACUUAGAUUUUUUAUAAUUAGUUUGGUCUUCUAGUUAUAUUUGAUCCGAGCCUGAUUUAUAAUUUUGGAUGGACUAUGAAUUUCGCCCUUGAAUUAAAAUUAAAUGGUGUGUGAAUGGACUGUUAAAGACAUGGCAAGGAAGGAUUAAGUUUAUUUGCUUUGGGUUUUUUUAAAUUUUUGUUUGAUUUCUGCUGAAGAUUUGUUCUGUUGUAGCGUUGAUUUAUAUUUGAGUUUGUUAAAGUGUUGAACAGUGAUUUGUGAACUCAUGCUGACUUACUUGUGUGAUGCUUGGAAAAUAUACUCAACUUAGAGGUUAAAGUUCAUAUUACUAGUAGUUUACUGCGUUAAUUCUAUAGGUUCUUCAUCUAUUAAGCACAUAUAUGGAACAAGGUUUUAACUUUUAAGUAGCUUGGACUGGUCUGUUAAAACUAGUUUAAAACUGAGUCAAAAAUUAUUACCAAAUGAUUGCUUAAUUUUGAGUUGUUUUAUUCAGAAUGUUUAUCUAUCCAUUCCAUGUUGGAACAAUUAAAAUUUGGAAGCUAAGUGGUAAUUUAUUCGUAUAUUUUAUGUGGUCUCUGUUGUUAAACAUAUAGUUGAAUUUGACAAUUGUUAAAAGGGGUGUUAUGGUUUAGGGAUGCUUCGUUUCUGAACUCGAAUGCUUGUUUCUUUUUGCCAAUGAAAAGGCUCGAUCUCGAGUAUUGGCUUUGUGGUUAUGGUGUCCUCAGAGUUGGGAUACCUUUUUAGGCUUAGUUUAAAUCCUUG
rnacentral:lncRNA from 1 species